rnacentral:rRNA from 1 species
CCGCCGGCGACCGGCGCACGGGUGAGUAACACGUAUGCAACCUGGCCGUGACAGAUGGAUAACCGGGGAAGAAAUCCCCGCCUAAUACAGCAUGACGCCGGGAAGGGACAUCCCUUUCCGGCCAAAGGGGGCGACUCCGGUCACGGAUGGGCAUGCGGCGCAUUAGGUAGUUGGUGGGGCAACGGCCCACCAAGCCGACGAUGCGUAGGGGUUCUGAGAGGAAGGUCCCCCACAUUGGAACUGAGACACGGUCCAAACUCCUACGGGAGGCAGCAG